AUAUUUAUUUUCUAGGAGAUUAUUAUAUCUGGUCCACACUCCUGAUCAUGAAGUUAUGAAUAUGGUAUGCACAGAAAUACAUCAUGGAGGAGGAGGAGGCUCCUAUUGAAGGCUAAUAAGGGCUCUUAUUGAAGACUGUGACUUUGGAGAGGGAGUAAGUUUGUUCCAGAAAGAUUAUAACCCAUGGAUUCACAAAGAAACCUCCCCAGUGUGGGUGGAGACUGGACACUCUUGAGAAAUGCCUCUUUACUCCUCUUUACCUAUCCCCAUGCUGUUUAGUGUCCUACUAACAAUACAAAAAUAUUAUCAUAUUA